rnacentral:rRNA from 1 species
UGGGGAAUAUUGCACAAUGGGCGCAAGCCUGAUGCAGCCAUGCCUCGUGUAUGAAGAAGGCCUUCGGGUUGUAAAGUACUUUCAGCGGGGAGGAAGGGAGUAAAGUUAAUACCUUUGCUCAUUGACGUUACCCGCAGAAGAAGCACCGGCUAACUCCGUGCCAGCAGCCGCGGUAAUACGGAGGGUGCAAGCGUUAAUCGGAAUUACUGGGCGUAAAGCGCACGCAGGCGGUUUGUUAAGUCAGAUGUGAAAUCCCCGGGCUCAACCUGGGAACUGCAUCUGAUACUGGCAAGCUUGAGUCUCGUAGAGGGGGGUAGAAUUCCAGGUGUAGCGGUGAAAUGCGUAGAGAUCUGGAGGAAUACCGGUGGCGAAGGCGGCCCCCUGGACGAAGACUGACGCUCAGGUGCGAAAGCGUGGGGAGCAAACAGG